CGGACGGGUGAGUAAUGUAUGGGGAUCUGCCUGAUGGCGGGGGAUAACUACUGGAAACGGUAGCUAAUACCGCAUAAUGUCUGUGGACCAAAGCGGGGGACCUCCGGGCCUCGCGCCAUCAGAUGAACCCAUAUGGGAUUAGCUUGUAGGUAAGGUAACGGCUUACCUAGGCGACGAUCCCUAGCUGGUCUGAGAGGAUGACCAGCCACACUGGAACUGAGACACGGUCCAG
rnacentral:rRNA from 1 species